ACGCUGGCGGCAGGCCUAACACAUGCAAGUCGAGCGGUAGAGAGAAGCUUGCUUCCCUUGAGAGCGGCGGACGGGUGAGUAAUGCCUAGGAAUCUGCCUGGUAGUGGGGGAUAACGUUCGGAAACGGACGCUAAUACCGCAUACGUCCUACGGGAGAAGGCAGGGGACCUUCGGGCCUUGCGCUAUCAGAUGAGCCUAGGUCGGAUUAGCUAGUUGGUGAGGUAAUGGCUCACCAAGGCGACGAUCCGUAACUGGUCUGAGAGGAUGAUCAGUCACACUGGAACUGAGACACGGUCCAGACUCCUACGGGAGGCAGCAGUGGGGAAUAUUGGACAAUGGGCGAAAGCCUGAUCCAGCCAUGCCGCGUGUGUGAAGAAGGUCUUCGGAUUGUAAAGCACUUUAAGUUGGGAGGAAGGGCAUUAACCUAAUACGUUAGUGUUUUGACGUUACCGACAGAAUAAGCACCGGCUAACUCUGUGCCAGCAGCCGCGGUAAUACAGAGGGUGCAAGCGUUAAUCGGAAUUACUGGGCGUAAAGCGCGCGUAGGUGGUUUGUUAAGUUGGAUGUGAAAUCCCCGGGCUCAACCUGGGAACUGCAUUCAAAACUGACUGACUAGAGUAUGGUAGAGGGUGGUGGAAUUUCCUGUGUAGCGGUGAAAUGCGUAGAUAUAGGAAGGAACACCAGUGGCGAAGGCGACCACCUGGACUAAUACUGACACUGAGGUGCGAAAGCGUGGGGAGCAAAC
rnacentral:rRNA from 1 species